GACGAACGCUGGCGGCGUGCCUAAUACAUGCAAGUCGAGCGAAGUUUUUCUGGUGCUUGCACUAGAAAAACUUAGCGGCGAACGGGUGAGUAACACGUAAAGAACCUGCCUCAUAGACUGGGACAACUAUUGGAAACGAUAGCUAAUACCGGAUAACAGUAUUUCUCGCAUGAGAGAUAUUUAAAAGUUGGUUAUGCUAACACUAUGAGAUGGCUUUGCGGUGCAUUAGCUAGUUGGUGGGGUAAAGGCCCACCAAGGCGACGAUGCAUAGCCGACCUGAGAGGGUGAUCGGCCACACUGGGACUGAGACACGGCCCAGACUCCUACGGGAGGCAGCAGCAGGGAAUCUUCCGCAAUGGGCGAAAGCCUGACGGAGCAACGCCGCGUGAGUGAAGAAGGAUUUCGGUUCGUAAAGCUCUGUUGUUAGGGAAGAAUGGAUAUGUAGUAACUAUACAUGUAAGAGACGGUACCUAACCAGAAAGCCACGGCUAACUACGUG
rnacentral:rRNA from 1 species